rnacentral:rRNA from 1 species
GAUGAACGCUGGCGGCGUGCCUAAUACAUGCAAGUCGAGCGAAGCGGGGACGGGUGAGUAAUAGGUGGAUACCUUCCUUUAUGACUGGGAUAACUUCGGGGAACCGGAGCUAAAUACGACACUCAUCGCUGGUUCCGGGCUGGAUUAGCUAGUUGGUAAGGUAACGGCUUACCAAGGCAACGAUGCAUAGCCGACCUGAGAGGAUGAUCGGCCACACUGGAACUGAGACACGGUCCAGACGCCUACGGGAGGCAGCAGUGGGGAAUCUUCGGCAAUGGGCGAAAGCCUGACGGAGCAACGCCGCGUGGGUGAUGAAGGUCUUCGGAUCGUAAAACUCUGUUAUUAGGGAGGCGGUACCUAAUCAGAAAGCCACGGCUAACUACGUGCCAGCAGCCGCGGUAAUAC